rnacentral:rRNA from 1 species
GCGUUGUUCGGAAUUACUGGGCGUAAAGGGCGCGUAGGCGGCCGAUCAAGUCAGGCGUGAAAUUCCCGGGCUCAACCUGGGGGCUGCGCUUGAUACUGAUUGGCUUGAAUGCGGGAGAGGAUAGUGGAAUUCCCAGUGUAGAGGUGAAAUUCGUAGAUAUUGGGAAGAACACCAGUGGCGAAGGCGGCUAUCUGGCCCGUUAUUGACGCUGAGGCGCGAAAGCGUGGGGAGCAAACAGG